UGAAAUUCUGAAAGAGGUUUCUAAAAGGGCAUAAAGAGAUGAGCUGAGGACGUGCAGAAGGAUUGGGAUGGAGGGCGUGUGGCGUCAGGAGCUCUGUAUGCCUCACUGAGAGGCCCGGCGCAAACCAGCCCCUGAAACUGGACAAGCUCCCGGAGAUGCUGGACUGGGGCUGAGCGAGGACAGCACUUCCAGUGUCCACCGCAGCUCAGUAAUCUCUACACCCAAUGUGGGGCUCGAACUCACCACCCCGAGAUGGAGAGUCACACACUUCACCUGCUGAGCCAGCCCGGCGCCCCAGAAGUUUUAAUUUUUUUACGAGAUCCAGUGUUUCACUCUUUUCCUUUGUGGCGUCUGGGAUUCCUGCCCUGCUUAUGGUAAGUGUUCUGUUCCAUGAUUAU